GAACUAGUCUGGAGUAGUGAGAACUGCUAAUUCCUCACGACCACAGUUCAAUUCUGUGGCUAGAUCA
rnacentral:tRNA from 1 species